GUCCCUACGGGGGGCAGCAGUGGGGAAUAUUACACAAUGGAGGAAACCCUGAUGCAGCGACGCCGCGUGAGUGAAGAAGUAUUUCGGUACGUAAAGCUCUAUCAGCAGGGAAGAAAAAAAGUCCUUUGGACUUUGGACGGUACCUGACCAAGAAGCCCCGGCUAACUACGUGCCAGCAGCCGCGGUAAUACGUAGGGGGCAAGCGUUAUCCGGAUUUACUGGGUGUAAAGGGAGCGUAGACGGCAGCGCAGGUCUGGAGUGAAAUGCCGGGGCCCAACCCCGGAAAUGCUUU
rnacentral:rRNA from 1 species